UGCCAGCAGCCGCGGUAAGACGUAGGAUGCGAGCGUUGUCCGGAUUUAUUGGGCGUAAAGAGUUCGUAGGUGGCAUAUCAAGUCUGGUGUUAAAGCCCGAUGCUCAACAUCGGUUCGGCACUGGAUACUGAUAAGCUAGAGUGCAGUAGAGGCAAGGGGAAUUCCCAGUGUAGCGGUGAAAUGCGUAGAUAUUGGGAGGAACACCGGUGGCGUAAGCGCCUUGCUGGGCUGUUACUGACGCUGAGGAACGAAAGCCGGGGGAGCAAAUGGGAUUAGAUACCCCAGUAGUCCCGGCUGUAAACGAUGGAUACUAGGUGUUGCGGGUAUCGACCCCUGCAGUGCCGCAGUUAACGCGAUAAGUAUCCCGCCUGGGGAGUACGCACGCAAGUGUGAAACUUAAAGGAAUUGGCGGGGGA
rnacentral:rRNA from 1 species